rnacentral:lncRNA from 10 species
AGAACAGUAGAAAACCCCAGGCAGAGCUGAAGACAGUGACAGAAGGGAUUAUUGCUUCUGAAGAAGAAAAAAAAUGAUUACAAAAUCACCUAUUUUACCGUCUUUUACAACUUCGUUGUAGGAGGUGUGAAAGAGGAGGGAAAUUGUGUUGUUUGAUGGAGAGACUCAAAUUAACAAAGAACUGUGGAAUAUUUCUAGCCAAAAGCCACUGGGGAACUGAUUCCUGCCAACAACCACUGAACUUCGAAGUAGAUCCAUCAGCAACUGGACCCUCAGAUGCGACCCAUGUAUGACACCUUGAUUGGGAUCCUGUGAGAGACCCUCAGGCAGAGCACCUAGUUAAGUCAAACUCAGAUCGCUGACUCCCAGAAACUGUAAGCACUCUCCUGCAUACCUGUCACCAAACCUCCAGGUCAAUCUCACAUUUACUCUUGAAGAAAUGGAGUCGAAGAUGAAAUAGAAAAUAAUUAGAUAAUGAAAUGCUAAUAUAGGAAUUGAAUGUCAGCUGCAGUGCUCAGAAGCAUAAGAUUGUGAUAAAUGUUUUGGAGGAAAAUAGAAAGAAGGCUGUGGUUUGAAACGUCUCAACAAACUUCCAAUCAUGCAAAACUUGAGGGAACGAGGAACAGCAAAGCUUGGCACUUUGGAAGCUUGAUAACAUCACAGCAUGGAAGAAAAGUGGAAGGAAG